CACCUCCGCACCAAGAUGACCACCAAUUGAAUAUAAAUUUCUCAGUCUCGUUUUAUAUCUCGACAACUAAGAAGUAUCAAGUGCCAAUAUCAAACGAACAGGGAAUUACCAUAUAAAAUGUCCGGCGCCAGGGGAAGGAUAAUCUCGUGAAUGUUUGGACUUCUAGUGAUAUAAAGUACGAUUAUACCUAGGCCAUACGAUCCGAUCCAGAAAUAUGUGUACUCUCUCGAGGGUUGAGCGCACGAACCAUAGAUGUAUUUAUUUUCCGCUCCACAAGAAAGGAAGAAAAUUAUCGAAGUACGAGACACAUGCUUACAAUAUAAUAUAUGAGCACAAAGUGAAUAUAACCUUUAUCGUUUCUCAAUAACUUGCCAACAACUCAAGG
rnacentral:lncRNA from 1 species